GAUAAUGAAUUUCUAUUAAUUGGAGAUGAGAGUGAGGAAUUCCUGGGAAAUGGGAAAAUAGAGAAGUUGCUUGUGGCAUUUGUUUAAUGAAAUGGACUAAGAAUACUCAAUUGAUAUGAAAUAAAUUACGACAGGGGAAUGGGAAUGAUCUUGAAAGAUGCCGUUCGAGCAAAUUGAAUGGUAUACACUAUUAAUACUUGACAGUUUCGUUGUGAAUGGUGAUGACAAGAUAAUGAAUUUCUAUUAAUUGGAGAUGAGAGUGAGGAAUUCCUGGGAAAUGGGAAAAUAGAGAAGUUGCUUGUGGCAUUUGUUUAAUGAAAUGGACUAAGAAUACUCAAUUGAUAUGAAAUAAAUUACGACAGGGGAAUGGGAAUGAUCUUGAAAGAUGCCGUUCGAGCAAAUUGAAUGGUAUACACUAUUAAUACUUGACAGUUUCGUUGUGAAUGGUGAUGACAAGAUAAUGAAUUUCUAUUAAUUGGAGAUGAGAGUGAGGAAUUCCUGGGAAAUGGGAAAAUAGAGAAGUUGCUUGUGGCAUUUGUUUAAUGAAAUGGACUAAGAAUACUCAAUUGAUAUGAAAUAAAUUACGACAGGGGAAUGGGAAUGAUCUUGAAAGAUGCCGUUCGAGCAAAUUGAAUGGUAUACACUAUUAAUACUUGACAGUUUCGUUGUGAAUGGUGAUGACAAGAUAAUGAAUUUCUAUUAAUUGGAGAUGAGAGUGAGGAAUUCCUGGGAAAUGGGAAAAUAGAGAAGUUGCUUGUGGCAUUUGUUUAAUGAAAUGGACUAAGAAUACUCAAUUGAUAUGAAAUAAAUUACGACAGGGGAAUGGGAAUGAUCUUGAAAGAUGCCGUUCGAGCAAAUUGAAUGGUAUACACUAUUAAUACUUGACAGUUUCGUUGUGAAUGGUGAUGACAAGAUAAUGAAUUUCUAUUAAUUGGAGAUGAGAGUGAGGAAUUCCUGGGAAAUGGGAAAAUAGGGAAGUUGCUCGUGACAUUUGUUUAACGAAAUAGACUGGAAACAUCUGAUCGACCAGAUAUAGAUGACGACAGGAGAAUAUGAUUGAUUUUGAAGGAUGCUGCUCGAGCAGAUUGAACGAUGACAAGUUAAUGAAUUUCUAUUUGUUGGAGAUGUGAGACAGGAAUUCCUGGGAAAUGGGAAAGAUAGAGAAGUUGCUCGUGAUGGUUGUUCAAUGAAAUGGGCUAAGAACAUCCAAUUGAUAUGAAAUAGAUGACGACAGGAGAAUGUGUUUGAUCUUGAAAGAUGCCGUUCGAGCAGGUUGAAUGGUAUACGCUAUUGAUACUUGACGGUUUCGUUGUUAACGAUGAUGACAAGCUAAUGAGUUUCUAUUAAUUGGAGAGGAGAGAGAGGAAUUCCUGGGAAUGGUAAAUAGAGAAGUUGCUCGUGACAUUUGUCCAACGAAAUGGACUAAGAAUAUCCAAUUGAUAUGAAGUAGAUGACGACAGGAGAAUGGGAUUGAUUUUGAAAGAUUCCGUUCGAACGGAUUGAAUGAUAUACACUAUUAAUACUUGACGGUUUCGUUGUUAACUAUGGCAAGGAACUGGGAUUGAUAUGGAAAUAUUCGAGGUUGAGUACUGGUAUUUUAAUGAAAGUUUUAAUUGUUGUAGAUGACAAGACAAUGAAUUUCUAUUAAUUGGAGAUGAGAGAGAGGAAUUCCUGGGAAAUGGAAAAUAGAGAAGUUGCUCGUGACAUUUGUUCAACGAAAUUGACUAAGAAUAUUCAAUUAAUAAGAAAUAGAUGACGACAGGAGAAUGGGAUUGAUUUUGAAAGAUGCCGUUCGAGCAGAUUGAAUGAUAUACACUAUUAAUACUUGACGGUUUCGUUGUUAACGAUGUUGAUAAGCGAAUGAAUUUCUAUUAAUUGGAGAUGAGAGAGAGGAAUUCCUGGGAAAUGGGAAUGAUAGAGAAGUUGCUUGUGACAUUUGUCAAAUGAAAUUGACUAAGAACAUCCAAUUGAUAUGAAAUAGAUGACGUCAGGAGAAUGGGAUUGAUCUUGAAAGAUGCCGUUCGAGCAGAUUGAAUGGUAUACACUAUUAAUAUUUGACGGUUUCGUUGUUAACGAAGAUGACAAGAUAAUGAAGUUCUAUUAAUUGGAGAUGAGAGAGAGGAAUUCCUGGGAAAUGGGAAAAUAGGGAAGUUGCUUGUGACAUGUGUUCAACGAAAUGGACUAGAAACAUCUGAUCGACCAGAUAUAGAUGACGACAGGAGAAUGUGGUUGAUCUUGAAAGUUGCCGUUCGAGCAGAUUGAAAGUUAUACACUAUUAAUAAUUGACGGCUUCGUUGUUAACGAUGUUGACAAGCUAAUGAAUUUCUAUUAAUUGGAGAGGAGAGAGAGGAUUUCCUGGGAAAUGGGAAAAUAGAGAAGUUGCUCGAGACAUCUGUUCAACGUAAUGGACUAAACAUUCGAUUGACUUGAUAUAGAGGAUAACAGGAGAAGGUGACUGACCCUGAAGGAUGCUGCUCGAACGUAUUGAGAGAUGACAAGCUAACGAACUUUUAUUAAUCGGAAAUGAGAGCCAGGAUUUCUAGGAAAGCGGAAAGGAGAAAGGGGUUGUUGGCAGUUUUUGUUUACUGUCUUGGAUUAAUACUUGAUUGGAUCGAUGCAAGCAAUGACAGGAGAACGUGUUUGACCGCGAAAGUUGAUGCUGGAAUAUAUAUUGAGAGGUCAAUAAUUCUUGUACGUAAUGGUCUCACUGUUGAGGUUGAUGAGGGAGAGAAAUUUACGAAGCAGAAAUGAUAGAGAGAUUAUUGGAAAUCUUUGAUUGAUAGUUUGUAAUGAAUAUUUGAUAGUACUGCGGUAGUUGUUGUUGGAGUGUUAUGUUUGAUUGUUUACGAAGGAUGCUUUCUGCAUACGUUGAGCGGUGAAUAGUUUCUUUCUUUUAUCUGAAGAAUUUAUUGUUAACUGCGACAAGGGAGAGGAUUCAGCAAGUGAAGAGAGGAAGAAUGUUAGAGUUGUUUGAGUAUUAAAAGCGAGUGAUGAGAGGGUAUAACGAUGUCAUGGUGCGAGA